rnacentral:misc_RNA from 1 species
UUAAAAAAAAAAAAAACUUGAAAUUGAUCAAAACCUAUGAAGCAGCUGUACUGACACAAAUAUCAAAUUCUAAAAAUUGGGAAUAUCACGAAUUUUACAUGACACAGAACAAGAUGAUGUUGAACUCUGGCGAUGAAACAGUAUGUUUACAAAAUCAUGCCCCUGUAGAUUUCCACUCUCCAACAACCCAGAACCAGAAUCAUUAAAGAUUCUGGGUAAUGGUUUGGGCUCUUGAAGAAAAAGAAAAUGCACCUUAGCAGUUCCCAAGAAUUACCAAUAUUUGAUGAGAAACCAUAAGGAAAAGACAUUCAAGACACCAAGUCAAUACAAACAUCAAUUUCAGUAAUAGCUAACCCUUGAAGAUAAAUCAUAAAUGAAAUCCCAAUUCUAUUUAAAUUAAGUAGUUUACUGAAGGUACUCUUCAUCUUCACAAAUUUGAUGGAAUGGGAAUGCUAUUUAUGCUAAACAACAAGCUUAAAUCACUCGUUACUUGUCAACUGAUUUCAAUUGAAAGUUAUAAUCCCUCAACCCCAUUUAUAGAACAACUCGAGUCCUUUUAACAUCUGCUCAUAACAUUACAUAAGACGCAAAUAUUUAAAUAAAAGAAAAUAAGGAGCAAACUUCAGGGAGAGCUAAACUGAACCAGAA